rnacentral:siRNA from 1 species
CCCAUUUAUUUGCAGAAUCGGUAC